UCGCUGUUGAAUGAUAUUUCAUAUCUUUCACAUUUGUUAUAACUGGGCUGCGUACUGCCUGCAAUUUUGAACUUCAGAGCUGAAGGUGCGAGUGGAGAAAUAGUCCCAAUAUCAUAACAAUCUUAAAACUUCUAAAUAUACCCGUGUGUGUACCCGUGUGCGUGCGUGUGUGCGCGCGCGCGUGCUCGCGCGUGUGCAUGUAUGUAUGUAUGCGCGUGCGUCUGUGUAUUUUGAAUUUAAAAUGUUUUAACUCGGAAGGAUCUGGAUCACAGGUCAUUUCAUCUGAGAUCAAUCCGCACGCAACAGCUGGAAUCACUUACUGAUUCACACAAGGGAGGACACAAGUCAGCCGUUUCCUCAAGUUCACGUCAGAGCGGAGAUGAUGUGAGGGGCAGACCAGAAGGAUACAUAGCGAGACAGUCUCCGCUUGGACUGGCUGAGGAAAGUCUCCUAAAUGGCCCUGGAGAUGUUCUGACUGACUUUGGAGGCUUUUUGGACUGUUUUAUGCCCUCUAUUUAAAGAAGACUUAAUUCUGUAUGUUCAGUCUGUAUGAUAAGUGAAUAAAAAGCUUUUGUUUUUAUGUGA